AGUGCCUUGCUUACAGUUCAGAUGUAAUUACUAACAUCUGGUCCUACUGAUUUCAACACAUCUCUUCUUCUUGGCUUUGCAGUAGCAUCAUUCAAGUUCCAGGCAUUCUGUUUAGAACUUGACUUUUAUUGUUCAUUUAGUAGAGAUGAGACAAACCUGAAAGCAGUUUGGCUAUCUGAAAAAAGAAGGUACCUGGCAGCGGCCUACAGAUGAGAACACAUGGCGAUGGCACUGACAAAACUUCAUACCGAUUAUAAAAAUUACAGAGAAACUUGUAGGGAUGCCAAGGCUUUCAAGACUUAAGGAGCCAUUUCUCACCUCUCAUCUAUGAGAGCCAAACAAAUUCGGGACAUGACAGACUUUACCUGCACACAGUAGCUACGUGUUGGAGAGAAAGGAAAAGCACAUAUAUACGCAAGGUGGUGAAAGAACAAUAAAGUGUCCCAGAAGAGUUUGAGCCCUGCUGCUCCUGCCUGCUUUUCUUCUCCUGUUUCUCCACCCCUCUCACCCUUUCUGUCUCCCCUGAUCUAUGCAAGGGUUGAGAGGGCAGCUGCUUCACCCAACUGAUGAGCUCAAAGCUCAAUUCUUAUUAGCAGCUCAGCUGAAGGUGGCAGUGGGGAGAUAAACAGUCCUGGCCAGCAGCUCUCUAGCUCCCCUUGCUGGCAAGUGCUGGCAGAGCAAGUUUCCAGGAUGUUUUUUUUCUUUUCUGGAUAGCUUGCCCUGUGAACCCAAAGCAGGUCACAUGGAAAGAUAGUUUCUUUUGAGCAAUAUUACCUGUUGCUUGAUAAAAAUAACAUCUUCCAAGGGCUGUAGAAAUGUUGAGCCACAUUUUCCAAUGUAGCCUUAUAGUUGUUGAACAUUUACUGCUGUUAAUACUUUAUAAACCUGAAAACUGGACCCUGGGGGCUAAACUUUCCAAAGUGGUUGGCCAAAUUAGCCUGCUAAAUCCUUACUUAGGCACCAAACUAAAAAUGGGCAACUUUUCAAGGAAUCAACUAACUUUUCAAGGAAUCAAGAAAAUAGGGGUUCAGCAACUCCAGAAACCAUGCACCUUAGAUUUAAUUGCCUGUAUCUGAUUGAGGCACUAUUAGUAAAUUAGCAUUACUGCAGCUGCUAGCAAUAUGUAGAUCACUGAGGUUUUACCCCAGUCAGGACAGGUUCAAUAGCAGUAGACUACUUAAUAUUGGUGAUCCAAUUUCAUCUGAACUAAGAUAGAUAUUUGUAUUCAAUGAGAAUGCUGUGAAAUAACUGGAUCCCACUGGGGAAAAAAUACAUGCAUCACUUGAAAAAAAAUUUCUGGAAUCAAAAUUUUCCAGCUAUACCUAUUUGAAAAUUGUUAUAAUUUGUUAUUAAUAAAAAGUUUGAAUCUAGAGGAAAAAUGUUAUUGAAAAUGAUCAAUAAUUUAAAAUGUUUAAUUAAUGUGACAUUUUUAUUACAAUUUCAAGUGGGAAAAAUAUUCCAACUAAAAUUGAUUCAGAUCAUGUUGUUCUUGUUCUUCAUUUGUUUAAUUCCUCAUAAUGGAAGCAAAGGGUGCAGGGGGAAAGAAAGUUUCUUCUGAAUAAAAGUUAAUAAUAUUUUUUUCAAUUUGAAUCUUAAAAAAUUGUUUAUAUACAAGUUCAGAAAAUGAUUUCAUUUCCUUCAGAGAGGUUCCCCAUUCAACUUACCCCCUCAGCAUGGUAUUCAUUUCCUAGCUGCCUCUACUUCCACUGUUUUAUUCAACAUACUUGUGUGGGGUAGUGCUUUUUGUGAGAAGGUAGUGCAGUCUUUCUUGGCCUUCUUGGUGAAGAUGCCAGUUGACCUGGUUUCUUCAAAUGGUUCCAUGCACACAAGUUUCAAAAGUUUUUGGCCUUUGUUUUGAAAACUAAGCACCUGAAAAUUGAGACAUCCUAAAUUAGAAAGUACUUUUGAAUAGCUGUGCUUAUUAUGCCCAGGAUCUAUAGACUAUGUACAGCUAAGUUGCCUGACACCUAGUUACUGUGCUUUAAUCAGUUUUUCUAGGUUGACCUGCACUGUGAUCCUACUUUGAUUUCUGAACUUAGACGUUAUUGUUAUAAAAUGCAAUGCAAUGAAUAUCACUGUAGUUCUUGGAAAAGUUUCUUAUGGCUCUCAAUAAAAGAUUAAAAGAGAGAUUC